CCUACGUGAGGCAGCAGUGUGGAAUAUUGGUCAAUGGGCGCGAGCCUGAACCAGCCAAGUAGCGUGAAGGAUGACUGCCCUACGGGUUGUAAACUUCUUUUAUAAAGGAAUAAAGUGAGGCACGUGUGCCUUUUUGUAUGUACUUUAUGAAUAAGGAUCGGCUAACUCCGUUCCAGCAGCCGCGGUAAUACGGAGGAUCCGAGCGUUAUCCGGAUUUAUUGGGUUUAAAGGGAGCGUAGAUGGGUUGUUAAGUCAGUUGUGAAAGUUUGCGGCUCAACCGUAAAAUUGCAAUUGAUACUGGCAGUCUUGAGUACAGUUGAGGUAGGCGGAAUUCGUGGUGUAGCGGUGAAAUGCUGAGAUAUCACGAAGAACUCCGAUUGCGAAGGCAGCUUACUAAACUGCCACUGACAUUGAUGCUCGAAAGUGUGGGUAUCAAACAGGAUUAGAUACCCCUGUAGUC
rnacentral:rRNA from 1 species